rnacentral:rRNA from 1 species
AACGAACGCUGGCGGCAUGCCUAAUACAUGCAAGUCGAACGGAAUGGGGCAACCCAUUUAGUGGCGGACGGGUGAGUAACGCGUGGGAACCUGCCCAUCGGUACGGAAUAACCUCGGGAAACUGUGGCUAAUACCGUAUGCUCCCUUCGGGGGAAAGAUUUAUCGCCGGUGGAGGGGCCCGCGUCGGAUUAGGUAGUUGGUGAGGUAACGGCUCACCAAGCCUUCGAUCCGUAGCUGGUCUGAGAGGAUGAUCAGCCACACUGGGACUGAGACACGGCCCAGACUCCUACGGGAGGCAGCAGUAGGGAAUAUUGGACAAUGGGGGCAACCCUGAUCCAGCAAUGCCGCGUGAGUGAUGAAGGCCUUAGGGUUGUAAAGCUCUUUUGGCAGGGACGAUGAUGACGGUACCUGCAGAAUAAGCCCCGGCUAACUUCGUGCCAGCCGCCGCCGUAAUAC